UCGAUUGUGUUAAUGCGUUCAAGAAAUUUAUUGCAGUAAAACGAUUUUGCGUUAAUGUGUUAUUAUCGCAUUAACUUUGACAGCCCUAGUCUUUUGUUUCGAGUUAUGACUCGUUUCAAUGCUCUAUGCAAAUGCUGUAUUUAGAGAUUCUGUCACACUUCUACUGUGUGCCAAUUGCAGUACUUAGAGGAUACUUGAAGGUGGGUCCCUCAGAGGACCUGAAGGCCUGGCUGAACCUGCGCUUCGUCUCCCCAAAUGAGGACAAAAUUAACAGCACAUUUUAGGUGUACCUGAUCGACUCUUAAAGUCAAACAUUUCCAGGAAUUUCCCCUCCAAUAGCAUAAAUAGUGGUACAUAUCAACAGUUAAUGUGGUUCACUUGGUAGACUUGCAGCUUCAUGAUUACAUAUUUUCACACAAUGUACCCAGUUAAUAGUAAAUAUUGUAUAUCCAUACAACGUUAGUUAACCUCUGCUAUAACAUACACCCAGCCUCUUGACACAAACAAACACCUUGCUACCAUUGUGUGCAUUCUACAGUAUCUUCUCACAGUAAUUGGUUUCAUUUCAUGUAAUUUAUUUAUCAGCACAUUUAUCACCACCUGAGGGCAAAUUCCUGGUAAAUAGGGAAUGUGGCUCUGUAAGGAUAUAGAAGCCUGAAUGCAUCAUUAAACUAUGGCCUGGGGAGCAGUGGGUUGUGGGAUACUGUGAAGUACACAUCAGUCAUGUCCUGUAACUACCGGCAAAAGAAGGCUAAAUUUCUGGUUGCAUACUGUACAAAGAGGCUUUUGAAAUGUCACAGCCUCGUUGAGCAAAUGUGAUUCAUUUCAAUUUUGAAAAGAUGAGCUUCAAAGAAUCCCUAAAUUGGGAUGCAGCUUACGAUGCUGCCCAGGUUCACACCGCCAGCUUCUGCGUAAAGGUAUCUGCUUGUCAACAAGGGGAGAGCACAGUCAACAUGGCUGCUGCCGCUGCUGUGUUUAUGACAGGAGGAAGUUCUCUGAAAUUCCUUCUUUCCACAUCAGAGGAUUCAUGUCUUUGAAAAUUCAUGCCUGCAGGAAAAUUGUGUUUGUUUUGGCUACGCGAGCACAACAGAGUUGCACAUUGCUUUUAUGGUUUGCAGUGUUUUGCAGUUGCUGACUGAAGGAAAAGGCUGGCCUAAACAUGCAGAAUGUUACAAAAUUUCACUUUAAAUGAAUACCAACAUGACGCCAGGGCUACAAGGCUGACAUUCAUGUUAUCCUUAAUUUUACAUUUACAUGGAACUUCACUUUCAAAUCUUGUCACUAUCUCCUCUGCACUUGAUGAUAUAUAAUCAAUAUUGUAUAAUAACAAUAUUUCAAAUGAAAACAAUGGAUCAAAUUUUCAAUUACAAUAUUGGCUUCCAACGAUCAUGAAAACAAGAUAAUCGACAUAAAAUGAUUAUUCUGCUCCCGCUGCAACUGUCUUCAGUGCGGCGAUAUCGGUAACCCACCUGACCUCAUUUACCAUGCCUUGUGGCAGUUUUCCCCAGCGUAGCCAUGGGGACAGAUGCACAGGUAUCCCCCCUCUCCUGUCUCUAUACAGGUGGCAUUACCAGCACAAGGCCUGGAUGAGCACAGGCGAGUAUCUGUUGAUAGAAAAAAAAAAACAAG